ensembl:lncRNA
CACUGAUAUCUUCAUGUCUGGUAAAAAAAAGAAAAGAAGAGGUUGUAGGGAUCAAGUCUCGUUAAACAGUAUGUGUUCUAAUUCAGUCACACAAACACUACAUAGUCAGUAUGUAGCUGCAUAAUAGAAUUGAAUAGAAUCAAAUACAAAAUAGAAUAGAAGAGAAUAGAAUACAUAUUGUAUCUGGUACCGUUAUGUAUGACUGUUGCUGCCCCACCAGAAGCCCUUUUCAGCAGCACUGGGGUGGGUCGCAAGCAGCCCUCCGUAAUGCCAGUCCCUAGCUGACCUUUGACCCCACUGCCAAAGGCCCAGAGUUGACCUGAGGACCCCAGCACCAGGGUGUGAUGGCUGGCAGAGUUAUAGUAAGACAAAAACACAGUCAGACUGAGAAUGUUCAAGAUUGGUUUCCAGGAAACACUCCUGGUGCUACUUCUAUUACAUUCCUAUGUUAUUCCUCGGUCCCCUUGGUAUUUUCUACCCUCACUUAUUCCGAAACUCCCUGUUUCCUGAAUUUUUCUUCUCAGUCCUCCGAACCAUGUUUAUGGACUCUGUUUAUUAUAUGUGUAUAUAUGUGUAUAAGUAGCAUUAUGCUGUUGGUCAUUACCUGCCACAUGCUAUCUGUGAGGCCAGUCCAUCCAUACCCUCUACCAGUUUGGGUAGGAGUUCGUUAGCUGAUGCAUUGUGCCCAAGCUGGCCUCGGCUUCCCUCUCCAAAGGUGAACACCUGUCCACCCUAAAGACCACAAAGAACCAGAACCAGUUGUUGACAUGUCAAGGCCCAGAGUUGUUCCUGGUCUAUUCCGGUCAGGGCCCUAAUUACUUCUUAAAGAGACAGUAUAAUAGUAUUGAAGGGUUGACCUUUACUCUGGUAGCCCCGAGGCUUGAUCUGUAAUAACAACCAUAAUCAGGACAUAUUCUGUAUAACCUGUGACUUUCUAUUCUGUAAUAAACUGUAACUUCUCAUUUAGUAUGAUAACAACUUGUAUGGUUCAUUGUGUAGCCAAUCUCUUCCAGACACCCACCAGACACUUGAUCAUUUGUUUUUCACCUCUGUUCAAGGUCAUUUUAUAUAACUGGCUUUAUUUACCAAUAUGUGAUGAAUUGUAUCUUUGAGAGGCUGCUGACUUUGUGUGCAGAACUAUCUCCCAGUGGGCCCACUGUUUAGGACAUUAAAUACUUGUUAUGAACUAAUGAACUGCCGUAGUAUUUGUCUCCUUUCACACCAACAUCUCCCUUGGGGCCUUCAGUAAAAAUACAGUAGUAGUAUGAUACCUUGGUGAGAACAACAGUGUCCCUCUCCACAGUAAUAGUAUGAUACCUUGGUGAGAACAACACAGUGUCCCUCUCCACAGUAAUAGUAUGAUACCUUGGUGAGAACAGCAGAAUGUGCCUCUCCACAGCUGAUGAAGGAAACCCCCAAGACUCUGAGAGCAGGCACAGAACAGAUGUUGAACCGGCC